UACGGAGGAUGCGAGCGUUAUCCGGAUUCAUUGGGUUUAAAGGGUGCGUAGGCGGUUUUUUAAGUCAGUGGUGAAAUCCUGCGGCUCAACCGUAGAACUGCCAUUGAAACUGAAGAACUUGAAUAUAGUUGAGGUAGGCGGAAUGUGCAGUGUAGCGGUGAAAUGCAUAGAUAUUACACAGAACACCGAUUGCGAAGGCAGCUUACUAAUCCAUCAUUGACGCUGAGGCACGAAAGCGUGGGGAUCAAACAGGAUUA
rnacentral:rRNA from 1 species